CUUCUGGCCGCCCCCGAGCGGCGCGCAGAGCAGCAGGAGCAGGAGGAGCGGGAGCGGCGCGAGGCGCGGCAGGAUGCCACCGACCGACAGAGGCACCUGGAAGAAGGAAGAGAAAGUAUUGAGAAACCCUGCAGAGUCCUGCUGCUGUAAUUCUGGACUGCAAAUCCCAGUGACCUCAGGGGCAGCAGGAAGAGGAAGUGACCACAGCCAGAGAGCCAUGCUCUAGCAUCUCCCAGCUUCUGUCCUGAGCCAUGGUUAGAAUUAGGUCACUUAAACUGCACCAGGAAUGCACAUUGAAUCUGUUAUGCAGCUUCAUCAAAAACUACGCUAGUUUCCUCUGCCUUCAGUUUCGCUCUAUGGACAGAUCAGCCAGCCUGGACAUCGAGGAGCUCAAGAAUGGUGGAUGAUGAGGAGAAGAAAUGAGACUGAGCCCAUCUCUUCCCCAACCUUUUUUGGAAUUUUAUGUACUCCAGCAGAAGAAGGAAGAGAGAGUUCUAUUACUCAUACAGAUACAAGAGAGUUUUCUAAUGUCCUGGGCUGUAUUGAUGUCUAUACCUUUUUGUCAAUAGAGCCACAUAAAAUGUAAGGAUACUUAUGAUCAGUCAAACCAAAAAGCACUGUUAAUCUGGAUAGAAAUCUCAUUGUUUCAGGGUUCUUGCCAAGAUUAUAGGCUAUAAUUUGGGUACUGAUAUGAAUGUGGACUUUUAUGUGCUUUUUCCUUCACUAGAAGAAGAGUUGUUAUCCCUCUAAAAAUAUUUAUUUUCCCUAAGAAAUAAACUACUGCACUCCAAAGUCAAAGCUGCUUUCUUCUGUUUACAAAAAGCCACCAAGCAACUUUGGCUUUUUCAUAAUAUUCCUGAGAGCCCAAAAUAUUAGUGGCUGUUUCUUUCAGAAAAUAAGAUCAGUCCUUAAAUAAGUUACUCCUAGCUUGCUUUCACUUUACUUAUUGAACUUUAUUUCUUUCAUGUUACAUCAUUUUAUAUAUAAUUAUUUCACUUGAAUUUGGAGAUACAGCAGUUUGCAGGUGCAUAUGUUGUGCAGAUCAACCCUAGUAGACUUCAGAAAAUAUAGUUGAUAAAUUGCCUGCCCUGACCCAAAACACGACAAAACAAAACAAAAACACAAGCCAAUGAAGUGAGGCAUGCGACGGUUUCUAAUCAAUUCCGUAUCUCCCAAAAGGAGGAAUAUAGACUCAUAAAGAGAUGUUUCACAUAUGGUACUUAAAAUAUGUCUCAUCAAAGAAAACAUGGAAACAGAUACUUCUGUAUAAAGGUGAAAGAUUUUUAAAGAAAGGAAAAAAUGUGAAUAAUAUCUGAAACUGAUAUGACUGUCAGUUAUAUAGUGUAGCUUGAUCAAUUCUGUUUAAGCAGACCUUAUGCCAUUUCUUUCCAAGUCUUAAUUAACUGUUAUUUCUGCCCUUGCAUCUUGACAUUUGUCUCAUAUAUUUUGUGCAAAGAAGUAAUACAAACAUAUUCAAAGUUGUUUGCAUAGGUACAUAUGUAUCAUAUAUGCCUCCAUACAUUGUAUAUACACAACGCACACACAUAUGCAAUACAUAAAAAAUGCACACAAAACAGUGAUAGAAGAACAUUAAUAAAAUUGGAAAGUCUUAAAAAGCCAGAAUUAUAGUUGUCUGUGCCAUCUUAAUUUGGGCCACUUGUGCUUAUGCAUAUGAAACUGCCUAAUUACAUGAUCACAUCAUUUUUUUCCACAGAUCACAGCAUGCAGGUGUAAUGUAUAGUAGGAAAGAGCUCAGAAGCCAAAAUGUGCUCAAGAAAUCAGAAAAUAUUUACUGCUUAGGAAGAAAAGGAGAGUCCUUUGGCGAGGUCUCUCUAGUGAAAGUUUUUGAUUUUAGUGUUUUUUGUGAAUAGGAUUCCAGGAUGCUUCACACUGGUCUUCUGUAGGCUUUGUGGUUGUUAUAAUUUGGCAUGUCAAGAAGGCAUCUAUCUUACUGCUUGUGUAAUUUCUGCUCUCAUGACAAGAGGUAAACAUCUCUCUAAAGGUGUUUCUUAUUGAUUACUUUAAAAUUCAUAUCCUUUGUUGCUACGCGUUCUUUGAAUUCUCUUUUUGUGUGACUAUAAAGUGUUGCCAGUAUGUGGUGUUCCUUUCCCCAAGCAAAACUCCUUUGAGUGCAAGAAGUGUUAUUAGACCAAUAAUGCAUAUAAUGAAGCUUUAUGCUUGUGCAUAUAAAAAAUGCAAAUAUACAAUAUGCUGCUUGUUUCCCAGUUUAAAAAAAAAUUAAUAUUUAAAAUGUGUGAGGCGAGGCCAUGCUUUUGUUUUAUGAGUUAAAUAUUUUGACAGAUUAACUAUGGCUGUUAGUAUGCUGCUAGUGUUAGAAAGGUGAAUUGGUUCUGGAUACUUUAAUACAAGAAAUCAUUCAACAUUUGUUAUUAUUUACUUGUAUUUCAAUAACUCCUGAAAUAUUCUAGGUGUUGCUUCUGAAAAGAUCACAAGAAGUGCAAAUAACAGAUGAAAGUAGGGGAUGAUGUAUUAAAAACAAUCAUCUUAGAAACAAAAUAAGUUCUUGCCAAUUACCUGUCAGAUUGCAGUCAUAACAAUGAGAAAAUGCAUUAGAGAAAAGGAAAAGUUCAUUAAAAAUAUAGGAGAAAAGGUUUUUCAAAUUUCAUCAAAAUACUUUUUAAUUUUCAACAUAGAACAAUGGCCUACUCAACUGACUUCUCCCUUUCUGUGGUCAUUAGUACUUGGACUCUUAGCUUUGGAUAUCCUUCAUUUCCUGACUUCAACAUUUUAUUUACUUUAUGGGCUAUCUCUUGACAUUAUUUUUUUAAUUGGAACUUUCCAUAGAUUUCACAAUCUAAAAUUUUGUAGAAAGAAUACUGUCACAGGGAGAGAAAAACCGGGGAAACUCCCAAGUCCAUGGGGGGAGCCCCAGGACGAAGAGCCGGGAGCAGAACAGCAAAAAGGAAAAUAAAAAAAAAUAGCUUGCUCACUGCAGGAUGGGAGGAGGAGCAGGGAUGGCAGGAGAAGCCCACGUGGGGCGUAGAUCAUGCCCUAAAUUACCCGUGGCUGGCAGAUGAUGUCACUCCCAAUCACCAGCCGGCGGAAAUAAAAGGGCCGGCGGCGAAAAGGAGCAGGGGGCGCACAUGGCUGCUGGGAGGGAGCCUGGCCAGUGGAGGCAGCUGGAGGAACGGAACGCCAGACGUGCCUACCCGCGCUCACCGCAGGGAACUGAAGGAACCUGGGGGCGAGCCAGCGCCCGAGGCCAGCACGACAGCUGCAGGCGAGCUGGGAGAGGAAAUGGUAAGAGCCCCAGCGGUGCGGAGAGGUCAGUGGGCCAGAGAAGACCUGAAGAGAGAGCUACAGCUUGGGGAAGACCUGGAGAGGAGGCUGCAGUUCAGGGAAGACCCGGAGAGAGGGCUGCAGUUUGGGGAAGACCCAGAGAGAGGGCUGCAGGCCGAGGAAGACUUGGAGAGAGGGCUCCAGUUCGGGGAAGACCCAGAGAGAGGGCUGCAGGCCGAGGAAGACUUGGAGAGAGGGCUCCAGUUCGGGGAAGACCCAGAGAGAGGGGCACUGCUCCCAGGGAACCCAGACAGAGGGUCACGUUGGUAGGAUACCGGAGAAGAAGUGGUGUGAGGCUGGGAUAGGUGGAGAGGGGCCACAGGACCGAGCCACGGGCAGGCGGCCCUGUCAACAAGUGGAGGGAUAGAGAGGCUGUCGGCUCCAUAAGGAAGCCCAAUAGGGGCAGGGUUAGGCCUCUUUUGAGGCUCAUUGAGCUUUUCAUUUGAGUCCUGGAAGGAGUUUUGUGUUUCCCCGUAUUAGAAGGGGCUGAGGUGGUGGAGGCCAGGAGUAGGAGUGAGAGGUGAGCUCAUUGUUUAAAUAUUUAGGGGAUAUUUUGUGUUGCAGGGCACCUCGGUGCUCUGCUCCUAGAGAGAGGAACUGCCAGGGAGAAAGAGCCCUGGCAGGGAAUAACGAGCACAGCUGUCAGUUGCCCGGGGCAACCAGGAAGUCAUCUGACUGGAAUGGGCAGGGCCUGGCCCUCAUAAAGCCCAGAGGCUGAGGCCAGGCUGGCAGUUCCCUGCCAGCAGCCAGAGGGGCAGGAGCUCCUGGAGUUAGGAUGCGGGAACCGCAGGUGCAGCUCAAGCCAGAUAAAAGAAGGCAGCUCUAUGAUGUCUGAGCAACGUGGUUACAGCCAGGCGGCUUAUAGUUAUGUUAUAGCCUAGGGGCUUGCGUUUUGCUUUGUUGUUAAACCGGUGGUUUGGGUGAGGCUAUACGGGGUUGGAGGAGGUCUCAGGGGGAACCCACAGUGGCAUGGGGACCCCAGCGCCAGUGAGGGUGCAGUAUCCUCAUAGGGGCCUCACAGUGGAGUGUGAGGACCCCAGCGCCCAGGAGGGUGCAGCAUACGGGGUGUAUAGACCCCAGCCAUAGAGAGGGGCAUUUUUUAGAAGUCCUAGCAUAGGCGUGGCGAGCCCUAGAGAGGGGCACUUUGGAGAAGCCCAAGUGUGGGCGCAGAGAGCCCCAGGAAGCGGGCAACAUUGAGAAGCCCAAGUGUGGGUGCAGAGCACCCCAGGAAGGGGGCAACAUCGAGAAGCCCAAGUGUAGGCGCAGAGAGCCCCGGGAAGGGGGCAACAUUUUAAGAAGCCCAAGUUGGGCACGGCGAGCCCCAGACAGGGGGGCAACAUUAUCGAGAAGCCCAGUGUGGGCGUUGCGAGCACCAGGAGGGGGCACUAUUGAGAAGCCCCAGUACAGGCAUGUUGAGGCCCCGAGAGAGGGCAACGGUGCAGAGAAGGCCCCGAGAGAGGGCGCCGGCACAGAGAAGGCCCCGAGAGAGGGCGAGGAGAGCCCCAGGAAGGGGCAGCUGUGUAUGCUGAGAGAGAUAGUGACAGUCCAACAUCCAUUCCAACUGCGAGGCUUGGGGCGUGGUAUCAGAGGUGGUUGGAGCCACGCAUAGCCCAUAAGGAUAGGGUGCUCCGAAGCACCCGUUUGCAGGACAAGACCCACGAGGGGUCCAGGAGUCUACAGGACCAGAGGGUACAACGGUCUGUGUCCAAGAAGACGUGAGGCAGCCUCCCAACUGAUUUUAACCAUCAAAAAUGUGGCGGGCGAGAACUAGAGGGUGCCCUUGGGCGAACUUGGCACGGAGAGGGGGCCGUAAGGAGAUCACGGCCCUCUUGUGGGACCGUGCCGUGACAUUCGGCCAACUACAGAAACAGCCAAGAUCCACCGGGCUCGGUAAAGGGCGAGGUGCAGGGGAGGAGGAGCCUCUCAAAAGACCUCUAAGAAGCAGGUGACUGAUGAGGACAACCAUGCUGCAUGAAGCCCCACCCACUGAAAGAUUCAAGUCGUGGCAGGCGAGAAAGGGCAGGUUGCAGCGCGUGGGAAGACCUCCCGGAAGGCCACCUGUGAUGGCAAGGCAAGUACCGGCAGGCACUCGGAGCAAGGAAGCCCGAAGUAAGAUGUACGAGGCCCGGCAGGUACAAAUACCUUCCUUAUAGUUAGUAAUGUAAUAAAUGUCAAUUAUCUAUAGGCAAUAUCUUGACCUCUGAUAUGGGACUUUCCUCUUAAGCUUGGAAGGUUGUCUGUUGCCACGGUGGCUAAAUUUCAGCAUGCAAAAAAAAGGAUUAUUGGGCAUGUCUAUACCUGAAAUUAAUUCAACUGUAUAAACUCUGGUGCAGUUAAUGCUGGAGUUUAUUGUUCCCAGGCACCACAUAUGAAUGAGUGCCUGGGACCGCAGCACAUUGAGCUGGGUCAGAGCAGCCUCCGCUGGCAGGGGAGCUGGGGCUCAGCCUGGCAGCUCAGGGUUGCUCUUACCCAGUUUAAUGUACUAUGGAGCAGCUGACUGGGGUAUGAGAGUGCUCCAGUUUGGGGCUAGCUGGCAGGCAGCCCCCCCCCCCCGAAGAAUCCUUAUGCCUCAGCCAGCCCCAUCAGCACCUAUAGGCGUGUGCAGACAAAACGGUGCCCCUAAAUUGAAGCAGUGGGUUUCUGAAAACACCGCUUCAAUUCAGGGCUGAUUAAACCCCCAUGUCGUGCACACAUCUUGCUGACUUACCUGUCUCUCUGGCGGCGGGGAGGGGAGAGCGAGCCGCUGGCAGGCAGAGUGGUUCCUGGGCUGUGGAGGGGCCAGUGCUUCCCUCUGUGGCAGUGGCAGAUUCAGUCAGAUGGCACCCUCCUGUAGGCACCCAGCUUGAGCAGUCCUGGGGGGCACUACAGCUGCAGAGGGAAGCACCGGACCCCUGUGCAGCUCAGGCAGGCUCCAGGGGAAAAAAAUAAAAAAAUUAAAAAAAAAAAAUCAAGCUUACAAAAAACUAGAACUCGUGGUUCCAAAAUUAUACCUUUUAUUAGACCAACUGGAAAAUGGCAAGAAAAUUGUCCUUUUCUGCAAGCUUUCAGGAUCGAAGUCCCUUUGUCAGGCUCUGGGAAAAGUGUAGAUGGUACAAGAUGGUAAAAAGUCCCCAUAGGUAGGAAAUAAACUUCAUUUUUGCACAGAGGGAGCUGAAGAUGGAAGUCUGUCCCUCUGGGUCCAUGAAAGUGUCUUUGUGUGCUGUGUUGAGUAGCUCUUUGAUGUGUUGAUCAGGUAGAAUUCCUUCCCUGAAGGUGUCAGAUGGGAGGCAGGGAGGCAAAAAAAAGUCCUUGUUUUUUUUUAAUCAGGCUUGCUGCUUUUCUUGAGGAGUUUUAGUUUGCUGCACCCCAAGUCAUUUAAGGUGCAUUACACCGCCACAUUUCCUACAGUGGCUGGAAUUAAUGUGUAAUAUGCCGCCAAGGCAUACAAACACCGACACCAUUAAAGCUGUGCAAAAGCAUUUCACCCUCUUUAAAGUGUCAUGCACACACCCCCCUUAUUUCAUCAACACAUCGCCUACAUGUACAUUACAGUGCACAAAAAUAAUGCACUAAAUAAUGUAUUGACAAAUACUAACUUAUGGCAGCAUUUAUUAGUUUUCUGUGCGCUAAUUUGCCCUCAUGUGUAGAUGCUGAGAUUUUACUGUGUAGCUAAUUUAGACAAUUAAACAUCUCAUAUAGAGGCAUCCGCUGUGUAACAAAAGACUAAAUGUAUCCUUAAACAGGCUUGUUCUAACAUCAUAUAGUGAGUUUCAGUAGACUACUAUUAAUAUCCCACACCUGAUUCCUCCCUUAAAGUGAUGUACAAAAUGAUAUGCAGUCAGUUCCAUUAACAACUAUACAUCUCAAGGCAAAUUUUAGGAUCCACAAAGAACUAUUUUUCACAAACUUGAGAUAUGUCAUGCCAAAGAAGUCUUGAUUAACAGAGAUUCCUGUAUUGAUGCUGAUUAUAACUGUAGUUUAUUAAUGCAUACAAUCUUGUCUACUGGAGGACUUAAAUUGAUUCUUCAAGAUAAUUAGGGGAUGUUAUUGCUACUUUAUUAUUUUGAAUUCUAAAAGCAUGCACUGAACUGGAUUCAGAAGUCAGAUAUUUGUUGUCUAGGUUCUUUAUGGUAUAAAAUAGCUGCUAGAAAUAAUGAAGAUGUGGCAUACUGGGAAUUACAGUACAAAGAUUAUCUUUAAGAAUAUAUUCACUAUAUGCCUUGCUUCAUAGAGGUAAUUGAAAAGAGUAAUCUUAAGCAGGAGUUGAACUGAAAUAUAAAACAUGAUAACAAAACAAUUUUUGCAUAUGGAAAAAUAUAGGAAAGGCUAUAGAAAUGUCAGGAGAUGAAUGAGAUUUUCACAUUCAUAUUGAUCACAUGGAAGAGGUAAGUGUUCUGAAGAUGAAACAUUUAGAACAGAAAUAGUCUACCUUAGAUAAAGUGUACACUGUCACAGAAAAUAAUUCAGGGUAGUAAUUUAAAGAACAAAGGUAAGGAGCAACACAGAUUGACAGAUAAGCAAGCAUCAAGUGGUUGUUUUGGAAAUUCUGUGAUAGGAAACAUGGCCAUGUUCUGCUGAAAUAACCAUCUAGCAUUAUUGUUAAUGGGAAAGAGAAGGAAAUCUAUUUCAUUUUGAUUUAUAGUACACAUGCCUGGAGAUCAUUUAAUUGAACAAAUUUUAAAAUCUUUAAUAAGAAUGCUGAUGAUCAGAGAGCUGCAUAUGGACUAGAUGAUUGUGAUUAUAAAGAAAGGCCAUGUCAUGAGCAUUUGAAUCUAAAUGUGAAAAGUCUAUAAAUGCAGGGAGCCUACAAUUGGUUAACAGGAAAGGCAGCAGUGAAAUAUUUCAGGUAAGGCUAAAACAAAUGACAAACAAAGGAGAAACUGCAGUGGGCAUCUGUUAUACACCCACAGAACAGGAGGACAGUGAAAAUGAAAAAUUACUAUACCAACUGUAGAGGAGUUAGAAACUGCAGGCAUUAUCCAUUCCCUUUUCUAUGCUCCAUUUGAAGUCAUUGGAUAUGGGAAAGCAGUGCAAUGGGGAUAGGUUCUUUCCCAUUGGGAAGCAAGGGGCCAGGCUGAAACUCAGGGCCCACUCUACUUUAGAGUAGCAGCUGUCCAACACGAUCUUUACCUUGUUCUCCUCCUCCUGGUUCCUCCCUUGGCAUCCCAGGAAGCCAGCUUCCCAAGGAAUGUUAAGAAAAGGGAUUGGUUAGUGUCUACAUUAUGGGUUGGUAGUGAACGCACUAUGUUGAGAAGUCCAAGAGAUGCAGGUUCAAACCCAGUGUGGAGGAAGAGAUCAAAUCUGCAGCUUGUUGGGCAGGUUCCCUAACUAGUCAACUACUGGAUCUAAAUCAUGGGAUGGUCCUUUUCUACAAUCCAACAGCUGUGCAUUUCUGGCUGGCUAUACUUUUGUGACAAACAGAAUGGGUGCACCUAUUGUGUAUGCUUAGACUAUGACAGUGUGGAUGUGUAAGCAUGCUUUCAGACUAAUAGAAUUGCUGUGUGUAUGUGCCAAAAAUGUAAUUUACAUAGCUAGCAAACUGCUGCUUAGCUGCACAAACGGAACUGGUGUUUAGAUGCACACGUGGAAAUAGAAUUCCUUCGUAAAUUUUGUGAACUUACAGCAUAUUAAAAUAUUCCAUACCACUAUUUUUACACUGAAAAUUAAAAGGGAAAUACAAGUGGAAAUAAAGAGCAAAUACCAAAUUAUAAUAAUCUACAUCAUAUAUAGAUAUUGCAAGAUAAAAUAUAUGAAAAGACUGGUUAUAUUAUGAGUCCCCUCUCCCAGAAGAAGGGUUGUUUUUUGUCGUAUUCUCUUUAAAGGCCUCAAAGAGAAAAAGAACUGAGACUGGAAUAAGUAAAGCAAAUGGAACUUAAAGAACUUGUACUUUCUUUAUAAAAGAAAGUCACUUUCUUUAUAAAGAAAGGAUAAGAACAGCAAAAUUCAGAAUGAGGAGUUAACUAAAAGAGGAUGAGGGCUUUUAUAAGGAUGUUGAAGAGAAAUAAAAUGAUAGAGAGAAUAGUCUUAUUAAGGAAUGAAAGUGGGUACCAAAAAAACAAAGCCAAGCUGGUAAGGAAUUAUUUGCAGUAAACUAAAUAUUAAAAUCUAGUUAUUAUGCACCUAAGAAUCCAUAGAAUCCUAGCAGUUGUUUCUGAUAAGUUAUGGAGACCUGAGGACAUAUACCAGUGUAAUGAAAAGGAAUGUGUAGUGAUCAAAAGUGUGGUUCUGGCACUUACAGUGCCAUCAAAUAAUUUUACCUUGAUGUCUUAGUAAAAUAUUGAAAUAAAUAUUCUCCUUGUAAACAUGCAACAGUUGUUGAACAAUGAAUAAUAGAGGUAUAGAAAAAACAAAUAAGGCCAGACAAACAUCACUUUUUAAACCAUCACAUUAAAAAACUGGCUGACAAAGGAUAUGCUGUUGUGUAAAGUAUCUGGGAUUAAAUAAAGUCGUUUUGUAAUGUCAGGAUUUCAGUAAAACAGUGAUUUAUAGUCUCACUGGAAAAAUAAUCAAAAUUGGCUUGGAGAGCCAUGCUGACACAUGGGGUGAAAACUGGCUGUAGGACAGUAAACAAAAGAUAAUGCUAAGAACAGCAUAUUGAGUUGUGGUGUGAAGGGGCAAGAAAAUGUGUA